rnacentral:rRNA from 1 species
GACGAACGCUGGCGGCGUGCCUAAUACAUGCAAGUAGGACGCAGUUGCGAACGGGUGAGUAACGCGUAGGUAAAUGCCUAUUAGAGGGGGAUAACUAUUGGAAACGAUAGCUAAUCCCGCAUACUAGUAGAUGGACCUGCGUUGUAUUAGCUAGUAGGUAGGGGAAUGGCCUACCUAGGCGACGAUACAUAGCCGACCUGAGAGGGUGAUCUGCCACACUGGUACUGAGACACUGCCCAGAGUCCCACGGUGGGCAGCAGUAGGGAAUCUUCGACAAUGGGAGGAGCCCUGACCGAGCAACGCCGCGUGAGUGAUGAAGGUUUUCGGAUCAUAAAGCGCUGGUGUUAAGGAAGCGGUACUUAACCAGAAAGGGACGGCUAACUACGUGCCAGCAGCCGCGGUAAUUC